rnacentral:rRNA from 1 species
UACGAAGGGGGCUAGCGUUGUUCGGAUUCACUGGGCGUAAAGCGCACGUAGGCGGAUUGUUAAGUCAGGGGUGAAAUCCUGGAGCUCAACUCCAGAACUGCCUUUGAUACUGGCGAUCUCGAGUCCGGGAGAGGUGAGUGGAACUGCGAGUGUAGAGGUGAAAUUCGUAGAUAUCUGGAGGAACACCGGUGGCGAAGGCGGCAUCCUGGACCGGCAUUGACGCUGAGGCGCGAAAGCUAGGGGAGCAAACGGG